rnacentral:rRNA from 1 species
GAUGAACGCUGGCGGCGCGCCUAACACAUGCAAGUCGAACGAUUAAAGCACCUUCGGGUGUGUAUAAAGUGGCGAACGGCUGAGUAACACGUGGGCAACCUGCCCCUCUCAUUGGGAUAGCCACGGGAAACCGUGGAUAAUACCGAAUACUUCGGGACUUCCGCAUGGAAGACUCGAGAAAGCUCCGGCGGAGAGGGAUGGGCCCGCGGCCUGUUAGCUUGUUGGUGGGGUAAUGGCCUACCAAGGCAAUGAUGGGUAGCUGGGUUGGGAGACCGACCAGCCAGAUUGGGACUGAGACACGGCCCAGACUCCUACGGGAGGCAGCAGUGGGGAAUCUUGCACAAUGGGCGAAAGCCUGAUGCAGCGACGCCGCGUGCGGGAUGAAGGCCUUCGGGUUGUAAACCGCUUUCAGCAGGGACGAGGCGAAAGUGACGGUACCUGCAGAAGAAGCCCCGGCUAACUACGUG